CCUAAAUUCCUAAUUCUAAUCCCCUCUCUCUCUCUCUCUCUCUCUCACAUUCUCCUCUCUGUUUCUCGCCUACUUCACUGGAAGAAUACGAGGCUUGUCAAAUCAACAAUAGUGCAUUUUCAGCAAUUUCAUUUCAUCAUUGCAAAUCCACAAGCUUCUCUAUUGAUCUACGAUUCUCCGUUGUCUUCUGGUGGACACGCGCCUUCUAGCCUUAUUCGCCGUCAGUCUCCGGUGCUUCAGCUGCUCUUCACGGCCGUGCGGUUUCACGGUGGUCAGUGCGUGGGCUUCACGCGCCAGUGCUUUCUUUCUGAUUUGGGCGUGCGUGAGGGCUACAAACCAUGUGUUUUUUUCGGCGUGUAUGGUGGGGCUGGUGGUGAUCGGAUGCCUUUCGGUGUUUGGGGGUUGAAGGGAUGCUAUGGCGCCGGCGCGUGUGUUACAUGCGCCGUCACAGAUGGUGGCUCUCCCGGAAGACAGAAUCCUCUUUGAGCUCUCCUGUGUUUGAUUUAGUUGUGGGUUUCUCUGACAGUUUGCAUUGUGCGUGUACUAAUUCAGUCAUUGGCUUUUGCUUAGUUUGUGUGACCGACUCCUUGUUCAAGUAAAGGUGUAUAUCAACGCAGAGGCACUAUUCUGUUGGUUGGAUUUUCUUAGUUGCAACUGUCUGUAUUUAUUUGAGUUUUUUGACUUAAAUUGAAUGUACACCUAGGGUGGAUGAAUGCUGCAAUGGUUGUAUGUUGUAUGAAUGAUGCAUUGUUU